CUUAGAUGGGGGGGGGUUGUUUUUUGUAAGAUCGGGAGGGCGGAGGGGGGAGGAAAGCGCCUCGCUACGCGGCCAGCAAACAAACAACGCACCGAAAAACGCCGAGGCGAUUCUCGGAUUUUUAUUCUUUUUUUUAAAGGAGGAGGAACUGAAGGAAAAGCCCCACGGUUCCCGGGCAGGGCGCAGGAAAGAAGAAGCCGGGCCGCGAACGGGCGCUGGGAUCGGGCUCCUUCGCCCGGCUCCCUGCGCGAACGAGCUUUUGUGUUUUCUUUCCAAAUGCGUGGAAAAGGAGGACCCGGGAUUUUCCCCCCCUUUUCGAGACGUGCUUUGCUUUCUCCGGGCUCCCGUGAUUUCCAGGGAUUCGCUGCGGCUGAAGCCGGCGGGUGUUUUUCUUCUGCCCAGACCUGGCGAUUUACAGGGAUUUUUAAAAUGUGCUUUUCUAUUUUUAUUUGGAAGGAAGAGGACUCGGCUUUCUCUCGAAGGACUCUGACGUGAAAUCUCUCCCUCUCCGGUUGCAUGGAAGGAAACGGGCCACUGCAGUUCACAGACUUCAUUGGAUCUUUAAAGUUUCCUUUCUGGGUUUUGGGGAGACCCCCCCCCCUCCGCUGAGACUGGCUUCUCUUUCUGUGCACACGUGGAUUAGAAUCAGGGCCUCUGAGAAGAGUCUGUGAAAAAAAGGGGGAGAGGAGGAAACACUUCUCAACUGUUCUGCUUGGAUGUGUACCAAAAACAUAAAUAAAAGGAUGGGAGAACAA